UUGCUCGAGGCAGUGCUGGAAGUCUGUUUUCGUAAGACUAUUCAGGAGUUCCGCCGAUUUUUGUUUUACCUCUUCCAUCGACUCAAACCGGAUUCCUUUUAAGGCAGACUUUAUCUUCGGAAACAAUUAAACGUCGCAGGGUGUCAAGUCGGGUGAGUAAGACGCGUGUCCGAGUACUGGAGUGCCUUAAGCGGCCAAAUAACGCUUCACGCUUUAUCCUGGUGCAAGAUCCACGACUUGUUUUUCCACAAUAUCGACCGUUGCUUACGAACUCAUUCGCGCAAUGUUGCCAAAACUGUCAAAUAGUAAUGUUGGUUCACAGUUUAACCCUCUGGAACCCAUUCAGUGAUCACGAUGCCAUUGAUAUCGAAGAAAACGAUCAGCAUGGUUUUGAAUUUGGAUUACGACU
rnacentral:lncRNA from 1 species